GUUCCAGAAGGACCCUGACGGGAGAAGGGGGAGAAGGCAGCAAACCCGUGAGGCAUGUCAAACGUUCGCUGCUGAGUGCAGCCGCAACCGAAGAAGGCCGCGUUUGUGUUCUUUGUGACGUUUUCCUGAACAUGAGGUCUGCGCGCAGAGUCGGCGGUUGAUGAGAACCGGGAGGUGCGGGGCCCGCACGGCACAGGAAGGAAUUCACCUUCGAUGUAUGAAGUGUCUUCACUCUGAACGCCUUACCCAGGCAAAUCACUUCAAUAAUGUUCCACCAUACUUUUAUUAUCAAAACAUUGUUGCCGUUCUGAGGCAAUGCCGUGAGCUUCUCUGGAUUUAGCUUGACGCUGGCUUUCGUGGAAGGCCUGUGGUGUGGUGUGGUGGUGAAGUGGGACCCAGCGGCUGUGCAUGACCCUGAAGACUCAGCCAGGUACUGGCUAUGCUGUCCUGGACUCCAAAGCUGCUGGUGUUGCCUCGAAAGUUCUGGGGCAUCCAUCGUAAGCAUAGAUCGUUAUGCGAACAGCCCAUUCCUCGUCACUCCCCAGACUUCAUAACAUCCUCACACCUAAAUUACUUUUCCUGGAGAAUGAGUUCAUGCAGAGUGUCAGAAAAACAGCCACAUCCCACUAUCCAUUCCCUCUGUUACCACGGGGAGGGAGACCCCACUCGCCUCUGCUCUGAGCAGGCGCAGAUCCACGUUCGGUCCCAUCUGGGGCCGAGGAUGAUGCUCCGCUCAUCCACCUCUCAGCUUCACCUGGAGGAACUCAUAUUAAGGAGUCCGUGCUCAGGUUUUCGGCAGCUCACAUGUAGCCAGCUGCCCGUUUGCUGGGUUUCCGCUGAGAAUUCUUUCUGAAGAUGUUUCAUUUUUCUCUGGAGCAGUCUCUGGUUAAAUGAAGCUACAAGCACAUUUCUUAA